GGUAACUACGGGUGAGCGGGCGCGGGAAGACGGAGGGUACGAGCGUUGGCCGGAGGUACUGGGCGGAAAGGGGGCGGAGGCGGCCUGGCGGGGCGCGAGUGAAAUCUCCCGGCUGAACUGGGAGGGUGGUCGCGAGACGGCGAGGCUUGAGGCGUGGAGAGGGGCGUGGAAUUCCGGGUGGAGCGGUGAAAUGCGUAGAGAUCCGGAGGAACACCGACGGCGUAGGCAGCGCCCUGGACACGACCUGACGCUCAGGCACGAAAGCUCGGGGAGCGAACAGGAUUAGAUACCCCUGUAGUC
rnacentral:rRNA from 1 species